rnacentral:rRNA from 1 species
GACCUCUUURACACAAAAACGACUCUCGGCAACGGAUAUCUCGGCUCACGCAUCGAUGAAGAACGUAGCAAAAUGCGAUACUUGGUGUGAAUUGCAGAAUCCCGUGAACCAUCGAGUUUUUGAACGCAAGUUGCGCCCAAAGCCAKCCGGUUGAGGGCACGC